GACGAACGCUGGCGGCGUGCCUAAUACAUGCAAGUCGAACGCAGUGGGGACGGGUGAGUAACACGUGGGUAACCUCCCAUCAGAGGGGAUAACACUUGGAAACAGGUGCUAAACCGAUAUUGAUGGAUGGACCCGCGGUGCAUUAGCUAGUUGGUGAGGUAACGGCUCACCAAGGCCACGAUCCUUCGCUGGUUUGAGCGAAGGACCAGCCACACUGGGACUGAGACACGUCCCAGACUCCUACGGGAGGCAGCAGUGGGGAAUUUUGGCCAAGGGGGGAAACCCUGAACCAGCCAUCCCGCGUGUGCGAUGAAGGCCUUCGGGUUGUAAAGCACUUUUGGCAGGAAAGCGGUACCUGCAGAAUAAGCACCGGCUAACUACGUGCCAGCAGCCGCGUAAUAC
rnacentral:rRNA from 1 species